AUUGUUUUUCCAAGCAUUUUCUAAAUAAACUUAAAUCUGUUCUUUACGGCUUAAUCUCCGUAACGACCCCUACCGGGGUCAAAAGAGAUUAACCAAUUUUUGGAAACUGGCCGCAGCCGGGGGCGUUGCUCCCGCUCGGCCGCGCGUCGUCCCGGUACUUGCACUUAUCUCCGGGCGACGGCGCAUCU
rnacentral:snRNA from 1 species